GGUCAAGCUAAUAAGAGCGCAAGGGGAAUGCCUUGGCAUCAGGAGCCGAUGAAGGACGUGACAAGCUGCGAUAAGCUGCGGUGAGCUGCACAUAAGCUUUGACCCGCAGAUUUCCGAAUGGGGAAACCCGGCAGAGCAAUACUCUGUCAGCCUGCGUUGAAUCAAAUAGGCGUAGGUGGGGAACCGCCUGAACUGAAACAUCUAAGUAGGGCGAGGAAGAGAAAUCAACAGAGAUUCCGCAAGUAGUGGCGAGCGAACGCGGAAGAGGGCAAACCGGAGGAUUUAUCCUCCGGGGUUGUGGACUGACACAACGGUGAGAUAGGUUAGCUGAACGGUAUGGGAAGGCCGGCCAUAGCGGGUGAUAGCCCCGUAAGCGAAAGCU
rnacentral:rRNA from 1 species